AUGGAGAGGAGCAGGAGGCUGUUCGAGACGGAGACGCACGGGGGCCGGGCGGCGUACAGGCUCCACGCCGUCACGGUGGCCGCGGGGAUCCUCCUGGUGCUCUACUACCGGGCGACGCACGUCCCGGCCGCCGGCGAGGGCCGGGCGGCGUGGCUGGGCAUGCUGGCGGCGGAGCUCUGGUACGCCGCCUACUGGGUCGUCACGCAGUCCGUCCGCUGGAGCCCCGUCCGCCGCCGCCCCUUCAUCGACCGGCUCGCCGCCAGGCACGGAGAAAGGCUACCUUGCGUCGACAUCUUUGUGUGCACUGCAGACCCCUAUUCGGAGCCGCCGAGCCUCGUCGUCUCGACCAUCCUAUCACUCAUGGCGUACAAUUACCCGCCGGAGAAAUUAAGCGUGUACCUUUCCGACGACGGAGGCUCGAUUCUCACUUUCUAUGGCAUGUGGGAGGCCUCCUUGUUUGCAAAGCACUGGCUGCCAUUCUGCAAGAGAUAUAACAUUGAGCCAAGGUCACCAGCCGCUUACUUCUCAGAGUCAGAUGGGCAUCAAGAACUGUGCACCCCAAAAGAAUGGUCAUUGAUCAAGGACAUGUUUGACGAAAUGACUGAGCGAAUAGACACGGCUGUCAUGUCGGGCAAAAUUCCUGAAGAAAUCAAUGCAAAGCAUAAAGGAUUUUAUGAAUGGAACCAAGAAAUUACCUCAAAAAAUCACCAGCCAAUUGUUCAGAUUCUGAUAGAUGGCAAGGACCAAAAUGCAGUUGAUAACGAAGGAAAUGCGCUACCAACACUUGUUUACAUGGCGCGUGAGAAGAGGCCUCAGCACCACCAUAACUUCAAAGCUGGGGCCAUGAAUGCUCUGAUAAGGGUAUCAUCAGUGAUAAGCAACAGCCCUAUCAUCAUGAAUGUGGACUGUGAUAUGUACUCCAACAACAACGAUGCGGUCAGAGAUGCACUGUGCUUCUUCCUUGACGAAGAAAUGGGUCACAAGAUUGGAUUUGUGCAGUACCCUCAGAACUAUAACAAUCUGAGCAAGAAUGAUAUAUAUGGGAACUCCCUCCAUGUCAUCAAUGAGGUGGAGAUGGGUGGUAUGGACAGUUUGGGUGGCCCUCUGUAUAUUGGCACCGGAUGUUUCCACAGAAGGGAGAUCCUUUGCGGCAGGAAGUUCACAAAAGACUACCAGGAAGACUGGAAUGCAGGAAUCAAGGACAAAUUACAAGAGAGCAUAGAUGAGACUGAAGAGAAAGCCAAGUCUUUAGCAGCCUGCACAUAUGAACAUGGCACACAGUGGGGAGAUGAGAUUGGGGUAAAAUAUGGUUGCGCGGUGGAGGAUGUAAUCACCGGAUUGGCAAUACAUUGCAGAGGAUGGGAGUCGGUCUACAACAAUCCUAAAAAACCAGCGUUUAUGGGUGUAGGUCCAACGACACUUGCUCAGACAAUAUUGCAACAUAAGCGAUGGAGCGAGGGCAACUUAUCAAUUUUCCUUUCCAAGUACAACGUGUUCUUGUUUGGGCAUGGAAAAACCAAGCUACGACAUCAGAUGGGCUACCAUAUCUACGGACUAUGGGCACCCAACUCACUCGCUACACUGUAUUAUGUUAUCAUCCCUUCACUGGCCCUCCUCAAAGGCACCCCCCUUUUCCCAGAGAUUACAAGUCCAUGGAUUGCACCCUUCGUAUAUGUCUUCUGUGUGAAGAACAUGUACAGCCUAUAUGAGGCACUAUCAUCUGGAGACACGCUGAAAGGAUGGUGGAAUGGGCAGAGGAUGUGGUUGGUCAAAAGAAUAACCUCGUACCUCUUUGGAGUCCUUGACAAUCUCCGGAAGUUACUUGGACUGUCAAAGAUGAAUUUUGUGGUUUCACCGAAGGUAAGCGAUGAAGACGAGUCCAAGAGGUAUGAGCAAGAGAUUAUGGAAUUCGGGUCGUCAGAUCCAGAAUAUGUGAUCAUCGGGACUAUCACGUUACUCAACCUUGUUUGCCUGCUGGGAGGGCUAAGUAAAGUCAUGAAAGUUGGAUGGAAUAAUAUACACUUGGAUGCACUUUUCCCCCAGCUCAUUCUCUGUGGGAUGGUGGUGAUAACCAGUAUCCCAUUCUAUGAAGCAAUGUUCCUGAGGAAGGACAAAGGCAGAAUACCAUUCCCAGUUACACUAGCUUCUAUUGGCUUUGUGAUGUUGGCCUUACUGCCAGCAAUAGUUUAA
rnacentral:rRNA from 1 species